rnacentral:lncRNA from 10 species
GAAGGAAGGAAGGGAGGGGAGAAAAGAAGGAAGGAAACCAGAAUUGAGGACAGCUGGGAAAGGAGGGAGAAACAUAACAACUGUCAGGAAAAGAAAUGUGGUCUCGCCUGCUGGUGAGAUGAGUGAGGUUUCAGCCCUGUGAGCCGGUUCAGCAUGGAGCAGCUGCAAGGGCUGUGGGUUCUCUGAAGAGACAGAAGCAGCUGGACAUCGAGAGGAGCAUAUCGGAGGAGGAACACACAGGUGGCUGGAUGUCGGGAGGAACGCACCGGCAUGCCAGCAGGCCCCUGGCCAGCAGGCCCCUGACCAGCAGAAUGACGCAGAGUUUGGCUGGGGCAGUCAGAGGAGAGCCCAGGCUGCCAAGCCGCCUGACUCCAGGGGAAAACCAUCACCCUUCUAGCUCCCCUAUCUGCUGAAAGCUAAUUCCACUCAAUAAAACCUGGCACUCAUUCUCCAA